rnacentral:rRNA from 1 species
AACGAACGCGGGCGGCAUGCCUAAUACAUGCAAGUCGAACGAUCACUUCGGUGGUAGUGGCGCACGGGUGCGUAACGCGUGGGAAUCUGCCCUUGGGUUCGGAAUAACGUCGGGAAACUGACGCCAAUACCGGAUGAUGACGUAAGACCAAAGAUUUAUCGCCCAGGGAUGAGACCGCGUAGGAUUAGCUAGUUGGUGGGGUAAAGGCCUACCAAGGCGACGAUCCUUAGCUGGUCUGAGAGGAUGAUCAGCCACACUGGGACUGAGACACGGCCCAGACUCCUACGGGAGGCAGCAGUAGGGAAUAUUGGACAAUGGGGGCAACCCUGAUCCAGCAAUGCCGCGUGAGUGAUGAAGGCCUUAGGGUUGUAAAGCUCUUUUACCCGGGAUGAUAAUGACAGUACCGGGAGAAUAAGCCCCGGCUAACUCCGUGCCAGCCGCCGCCGUAA